AGUGUUCGAGCUCGAGUAUCUGCGUGCACAGAGAGAGAGACGAUGGCGGAGAAAACAUUGUGCGUUACCGGAGCUGGAGGCUUUCUUGCUUCGUGGGUCGUCAAGAUUCUUCUCUCCAAGGGCUACACCGUCCAUGGCACGGUCAGAGAUCCCAGUGAUGCAAAGAAUGCUCACUUGAAGGAACUAGAUAAAGCAUCUGAGAAAUUGAGACUCUUCAAGGCGGAUUUACUUGAUUACGAUUCGCUCCGCUCGGCAAUUGAAGGAUGCUGUGGGGUUCUCCAUGUUGCUUCUCCAGUCCCUCCCUCCUCUGUGUCAAACCCUGAGGUACAACUGCUUGCACCUGCAGUUAAGGGAACACUUAAUGUACUGAAGGCAUGUUCUGAAGCGAAAGUUAAGCGAGUUGUAUAUGUGUCCUCGGUUGCUGCAUUGAUGAUGAUCCCAAGCUGGCCAAAUGGUCAAGCGAUGGACGAGUCGUCUUGGUCCGACAAGGAGUACUGUCGCAGGACUGAGAACUGGUAUUGCCUUUCAAAAACUGAAGCAGAAAGUGAAGCUUUAGAAUAUGCAAAUAGAAAUGGGCUCGACGUCGUAUCAGUGUGUCCCAGUUACAUAUUUGGCCCAAUUCUGCAGCCAACACUCAAUGCAAGCACAAUGGUCCUCUUAAAUGUUAUGAAAGGAGGGCAGGAGUCAGUGCCAAACAGGUUUAGGAAUAUAGUGGACGUACGUGAUGUCGCUGCAGCUGUAAUUUUGGCAUAUGAGAAACCUGAGGCCGAAGGACGAUAUAUAUGCACAUCUUACUGCAUUAAGACACAGGACUUGGUGGAAAAGGUGAAGACUCUGUAUCCUAACUACAAUUAUCCCAAAAGCUUCACUGAGACUGAAGAAUGGGUGAAUAUUAGCUCAGAGAAGUUACGAGGGCUUGGUUGGACUUACAGGGCAUUGGAGGAAACUCUAGUUGAUUCAGUUGAAAGCUACGGCGCGUCUGGCCUACUGGAAACGAAGUAGUUGCGUGGUCGGGUUAGUUUCUGCCCCGGGAUUGAUCACCGCCUGGGUUAGUUUCUUCCCUGGGAUUGAUCACCGCCUGAUUGUUGUCCAAUGGGUUAGUUUCUGCCCCGGGAUUGAUCACCGCCUGAUUGUUGUCCGAUAAGAACACUGUAUUCCGGCAAUAACACAGACAUUGUUUUGUUGUAGCAUAGAGGUUACCGCUGUGGUUCAGGCUUGUUAUAAGUUGGAGCUAAAAUAAAGACGGGAUGAUCUGGAUGGUUGCGA